rnacentral:rRNA from 1 species
CUACGUGCCAGCAGCCGCGGUAAUACGUAGGUGGCGAGCGUUGUCCGGAAUCAUUGGGCGUAAAGGGAGCGCAGGCGGGCAUGUAAGUCUUUCUUAAAAGUUCGGGGCUCAACCCCGUGAUGGGAAAGAAACUAUGUGUCUUGAGUACAGGAGAGGAAAGCGGAAUUCCCAGUGUAGCGGUGAAAUGCGUAGAUAUUGGGAGGAACACCAGUGGCGAAGGCGGCUUUCUGGACUGCAACUGACGCUGAGGCUCGAAMGCCAGGGGAGCGAACGGGAUUAGAUACCCCGGUAGUCCUGGCCGUAAACGAUGGGUACUAGGUGUAGGAGGUAUCGACCCCUUCUGUGCCGGAGUUAACGCAAUAAGUACCCCGCCUGGGGAGUACGACCGCAAGGUUGAAACUCAAAGGAAUUGACGGGGGCCCGCACAAGCGGUGGAGUAUGUGGUUUAAUUCGACGCAACGCGAAGAACCUUACCAGGUCUU